CGCAAACCCUAACUUGGAUCCCCUCCUCUCCCCCGAUCCACUCCUGUCAGACACCUCUCCCCUCUCCCCCGAUCCACUCCCGUUGCCGCCGUCGCCCCAUGCCAGGCGGCGGAACGAAGAGACAGGCCCCGCCGUGGCUGGCUUGCUCGCCGGCGCGCGCGUGCGUGCUUCGAUGCACGGCGCUCCAUCCUGCCGAUUCCCCAUCGUCUCCCACUGCCGCCAACCACAUCUUCGCCUUUGUUCUCCCAUAGCACGCCGCCGAGCUUCCCGCUCCCCUCCUCGCAGCUCCACAACUGCCAGAUCUGCCGCUCUCCGACCCCUACGUCCUCGAGGUCGACUAGAUCCGCCCCUCCCGCUAUCUGAAGCUCGCCGCGACCCCUUGCUCGUGGCUAGGGUUUCGGCUGCGGUGCUGCGUCCAUCGACGGUGCGUCUCAGGCGGCACCUCUCCGUCGCCCACCCCGGGCUCCGCGCAAGUUCAUCCGCUCCGGUACCUCGAGGAGUUCGCGCGGCGGUUUGACCUCCUCGGGCUGGUCCAGUUUGGGGCGGAGGUGGUGAGCGUCCUCCGUGGCAGGGACGACGACGCUGGCUGGAGGGUGAGGCUCCCCUGUGCUUGGCACUUUGCCUAGCCGUGCGUGGCCGCCAUCACUGGCAAUUACUCGGUCCGAUCUAUCCCCCACUCGAGCUCCUUUGCUCCACGCCAGGAUUCGACCUAGCUUUUGCAAUCCUGCUAAACAAUUUCAACAUGAGAAACAUGCCAAGAAACCACCAAACGUUAGUGCUUCGCACUAAAUUUGGUUGGUCCCAGUUAUAGUUUGCUUCGAUUUUUGGUGUGAUUUCUUAGCAAAGCUAACAUGUUGUUGUCGACAGGUGAAAGGAACUGACGGGGGAGUGCUGCUGCCGGAGGAAGGCCAUCAGGAGGUGGCCGAUGUGGCGCAGUGGGCAGACCACCCCCUUUUUGUUAUCCUGUAACAACCAGAGCCACACAAAGGUCUGGGCAUUGCUGCUUGCUUUAGAGGACAUGCUCAUGCUGAAUUUAGUUUUUUUCCUUCUCAUUUCAAGUGCUUAUUCCAGAUGUGCUCUGCUCAAUCAUCACAUUUCUUGAUGCCAGAUACUAGUAGCUGUUGGCACAUUAUUCAGUUGCUAGUUGUCUGUCCCACUGGAUGCUGUGCGUCUUUUAGCAGCCCAGUACUCAUUUGUAGGAAGGGUGGCAUCACUUUGUUGGUUGUUCUUGAAGGUCAGUAAGACCAUGUAUUGAUUGAUCUUGUAUGCUGCCAUGGAUACUUUGCAAGUGGUGAUUUUCCAAGGUUGUUGUUACCAUGGAGGUCAACGGGCGUCACAAGCCUACAAGAGAGUAUGUCGACAGAGGGUGCAAUGGUGUAAAACCACACAAUAAUUUUGGCAAAGUUGAUCCCUGGACGGCGUGGGCGUACAGACCGCGGACCAUCUCGUUGUUGCUGAUGGGUAUCUGCUUUUUAAUGAGGUGUGUUUGCCGAUGACCAAAAUGUGCUGAUUGUGGCGUCCGCGUGGAUGCUUUACGGUUUGAUCCACGCCCGGUACAUCUUAACCACCAAGGGCUUGUCUCAGAUCUGUAGAAGUUGCCGCCACUGCUGCUGCUGCAGGUGGAACAGGAAGAAGCCAUCAUGGCUGCUGCACAUCUGAAGUGGUAUUAUGUGUUCUGGAAGAUGGAAGAGGGAUAAAACUUAUUUUUGUUGAACUAAUUUUUUUGUAUUCUAUUUUGUUUUAUGUAGCAUUUGAUAGUUUUGUAUAGGAACAAGUGAUAAUAUUUUGUAGGGCUUUAUGGCCUGUGAUGUAAACAUAUUUAGUGCUGAAAUAUGAAAUUAUUUGCAAAAUUUGUCGAAAA